AACCGGAAUCCCCUGUGCGGAAAGGCAGAUUCUUAACCACUAGACCACCACGGAAGUCCCUCCUGAUUUUUUAGAUUGAGAAUAUAAGGCUAAGGAAAAUGGGUGGAUUGCCUCGGGUCUCCCAGUUUAAUAUGGUUUAACUGGAACUAGAACACAAGCCAAUGCAUGCACUUUGGUCCACGGGUGCAAGAAAGGAUAACCUCUAACCUUAACUGGCAAAACAGCCGUGCACCAGUACCAGUUCUCAGCUAGUUAGGAAGCAGGCCGCACAGCAAGAGGAAUUAAUAAAAUGAAACUAAUUGUUAUGAAAUCGCUGGAUGUUUCUUCGUUACAUCAAUGGAGUGAAGAAAGAGGGAGGGGAUGGUUCUGGAUUAAAAGAGAAUGAUGAAGAAACAUAAACAAAUGCAAUGUGCAGACUUGAUUGAUUCAAAUAAACCAAGAAAGAGAAUCCUCAGGUUCUAGGAUGGUAACGGAGACAACUCAUCACUAGGAGGUGAACCACAGAUGGUGAAAAGGUUGCCCUGGACCAUCCUCUCCCACUGAUACAGCUCCUCUGAUGAUGAAUAACCCCAAGCUGAGAUAGCUGGUGAUGAUGAGAAUUCUCCGUCAGUACCAAUGGAACUGCUGUUCUGAUCUUCAGGGGAUCAUGCCCUCAUUAGCACCACAUUCUUACCAAAAGAGCUACCACUCUUACACCCCGUCGUCAAAUCUCUACGAAUUUUAUCUAUUUGCUGGCCCAAGGAAAGAUGCAGAAACUGCUUGAAAAGAUUACUAUAAAUAGCCUAAUCACUGUAUCAACAAACAUGCUGAAUAAAAACUCUCAAAAAAUAAUUGUCCAUUUGCUUAGUAAUUAGUUACACCCUAGCAUUCCUUCAAAGGGAAGCAUGCCACAUGCACGGUGAUUUGUAUCUCUGUUAGCCACAUAAGCUCUGGAACAACAGGAAAUACAGAGGUAAAGGAACAGAAGUCCACUAAAACUGCUGCUUUGAAGACAGGGAUAUUUAUGCCAAGCUUUGUUGUUCUGAGGUUACUGAGUGACUCCUCUUUCGUCACCACUGAAGCUCUUAAGAGCUCUGAGCAGAAACGUUCAACCUACCUGGAUAUAUUGGAUUCCCUGGUCUACAGAAUAUAUAAUUCUAACAUCCUUGCCACUGUGUACACACACACACGCAGACAUUGUUUACUUGUUGGUAAUCACCACAAUCAAAAC
ensembl:lncRNA